rnacentral:rRNA from 1 species
UACGUAGGGGGCUAGCGUUGUUCGGAAUCACUGGGCGUAAAGGGCGCGUAGGCGGCCGUUCAAGUCGGGGGUGAAAGCCUGUGGCUCAACCACAGAAUUGCCUUCGAUACUGUUCGGCUCGAGACCGGAAGAGGUUGGUGGAACUGCGAGUGUAGAGGUGAAAUUCGUAGAUAUUCGCAAGAACACCAGUGGCGAAGGCGGCCAACUGGUCCGGUUCUGACGCUGAGGCGCGAAAGCGUGGGGAGCAAACAGG